rnacentral:rRNA from 1 species
UCCUGACCUCGGAUCAGACGUGAAUACCCGCUGAACUUAAGCAUAUCACUAAGCGGAGGAAAAGAAACUAACAAGGAUUCCCUUAGUAACGGCGAGUGAACAGGGAAAAGCCCAGCACCGAAGCCUGUGACCAUUUGGUUACUAGGCAAUGUGGUGUUCAGGUCGUUCCGCGAAGGUGCUGCUCCAUUCCAAGUCCAGCAAUGAGUACGGUAAUGCUGACAUGGCCCAAAGAGGGUGAAAGGCCCGUUGGGGUGGAGGUGCAGAAAUGUCAGUGCCUUCCUGGGUAGACCUUGGAGUCGGGUUGUUUGUGAAUGCAGCCCAAAGUGGGUGGUAAACUCCAUCCAAGGCUAAAUACUAACACGAGUCCGAUAGCGAACAAGUACCGUGAGGGAAAGUUGAAAAGUACUUUGAAGAGAGAGUAAACAGUGCGUGAAACCGCUCAGAGGUAAACGGGUGGAGUUGAACUGUGAGCUCUGUGGAUUUAGCUGGUGAGCAUGGUUUGAGCUUGGUCAAAUUGGUUGAUGCUCGGGGUCUGCUUAGCCGCAGGUUUCCACCUUUUGGUGGGGACGCGCGAGGCACUUAUCAAGUGUUGCGCGCCUCGGGUUAUUCGGGCCAGCUUGCCAGUGCACUUUCGCAGAGUGGUCACCACGACCGGCAUUGCUGUCUGGCUGUUGUGGUUAAACCGGUCUUGCAUUGUCCUCGUGGCUUUGCUUGGUCGGGAUGGCAGGUAGCCCGUUGGCCGGCUUGUAGCUUGCUGCAGGCGUCUGGUCCUCGGGUGUAAUCAGCUGACCGCAUCAGUUCUGUGCAGUAUGUCGGAGACGGCGGCUUGUGGUGUGUGCGUGCGUUCCAGUUAGCUGGCGUGUCCGGGUUUGGUUGUUAUGUUGCCUGUGUUUGCAGGCCUGAUAAUGGCUCGGAUUCGUUCGGUUGGCGGUUGCGUGCGUGGCACUGUCCAGGGCCAAUAGUCUGUGGUGUUGCGGUAGACUUUCCACCUGACCCGUCUUGAAACACGGACCAAGGAGAGUAACAUGUGCGCGAGUCAUUGGGCGUAACGAAACCCAAAGGCGAAGUGAAAGUGAAGGUCUGGCUUGUCCGGACUAAGGUGAGAUCCUGUCGUUUCUCACGCGCGGUGUCACCAAGCAUCGAGCGGCAGGCGCAUCACCGGCCCGUCCCAUGGUGUGGUGGCAAUCUUCGGAUUGUUCGUCACCGGGGCGGAGCAUGAGCGUACAUGUUGAGACCCGAAAGAUGGUGAACUAUGCUUGCGCAGGUUGAAGCCAGAGGAAACUCUGGUGGAGGACCGCAGCGAUUCUGACGUGCAAAUCGAUCGUCAGACGUGAGUAUAGGGGCGAAAGACUAAUCGAACCAUCUAGUAGCUGGUUCCCUCCGAAGUUUCCCUCAGGAUAGC